GCCCAGAUAGCUCAGUUGGUAGAGCAGCGGACUGAAAAUCCGCGUGUCGCUGGUUCGAUUCCGGCUCUGGGCA
rnacentral:tRNA from 1 species